CCUGCCUCGCUGCCUUCCUUUCCGCAACCCUGCCGAGGCGAGUCAAGGCCCGGAUACGGUGGGACGUGAAGAUCCGUCCAGCCACAGACUCCAGCCCCCACACGCACGGCACAGGUCCAUGUCUGAUCCCUGGGAGCUGAUCAGAGGCAAGUGGCUGCUCUGUCGCAGGGGAGACGGAGAGGCCGAGGCAGGCGAGCUGGAGGGAGACGCGGGAGGAGACCGACGGCCCUGUGCCUUCUGGGAGGAAGCAGGAGGGCAGGGCUGGGCUGGUGUUGAAGCUGAAGACUGGCUCUCUGCACCGGGGCUCCUCCCUACAGGACCCUGUGAGGCAGCCAGCACAGAAAAACGCAUCAAAGAAGAUUGCGCAGCUCUUCAAGAAAAGGGUGAACAACACGUCUGCCAGCUGAAGUGGAUUAUCCUUCCUGUAAUAAUCUUCUGUUGAUGUGGCUGAGGGUGCUAGACUGCUGUCUCUCCCUCAGUCUGACGGCAGUAGAUUCACGGAUUUUAAUCCUAAAAUCCAAGACCCUGGUACCAGUUGGUCCACGAUGUUUAACUUAAUGGGCUAAUUGUGUUUGCUCCGUUACAUUUACAAGAACAUUUUAUAACUGAAAAGGCUUUAUUAACCUUUAAACCUUAUUUAUGCAAUGAGGUCUGUACUGCUGAGAAGUUUGAAGCCUUUACAGCACAAAAUGAAGGAUAUGUGUAUGUCAUGGUAAUCCUGAACAAAUUGUUGUAUCCAUUUAUGAUAACCUCCAGAUAGCAUCUGUUAUGUACGGUAAAUGCAAUUUUAGAGAAUAAGGUAUUUGUGUGCCAUUAACACUGACACUUUUAUCCAAAGCAACUUACAGUUGAUUGGACUACACGAGGGACAAUGGAGCAAUGUGGGGUUAAAGGCCUUGCUCAAGGGCCCAACAGCUGCACUGAUCUUAUUGUGGCUACACCGGGGCUUGAACCACCAACCUUCCGGGUCCCAGUCAGGUACCUCAGCUGCUAGACGUGUCUGUCACAGCGAGACAGACAAACGGAAGGACAGAUGGACGUCAUCGUACAACCUCAUUUGCAGAGUUACAGAGGGAACCACGCCCCCUGCCCUGCUGUCCAAUCGGAGAGCAGAGACCGUCAUCCACACUUCACCUCUGACUGAACUGCUGGGAAUGAGUUUAUCAGACAAGCAUCAACUCUAGCACAAUAAAACCAGCAAGAGAAACCCACAAAACACCAGUCUCUGUCUGAAUAUGACAACAGAGCCAUGAUGAGUAAUGUUUGCUUAUCUGAAGAAAAAAAAGGUUGAUUCAUUUCUACCACGGAACAUAAACUUAUGCAAAAGAAAAAGAAAAACUUGAGAUGCCUCUAAGUCUUCCGUCUGAAUGAAUAUUAAUGUCUUAUUCAAAUCAUUUUGCUGGAAGUUUGAUUAAUAUUCUUGUAAACAGCCUCCAAGCCAAAUAUAAUCAAUUAAUAUUCAUGAAAAGGGCAGCUUAUUGUCAGUCCAAGUUAGUUUUGCACAUGUGUAAGUCACAAAGAAUAAAUGUCCUUUUUUAUUGUUGAAAAAAUCAAUUUGUUGUUGUGCUGCAGUA